rnacentral:misc_RNA from 1 species
GGGCAGAUAGAGAGAAAAGAAAGGACGAAAGCAAUCAAGAACGGACAGACAGAGCGCGAGAUUCUCCGCAUAUGAUAGUCAGUAUGGCGUCCAUCUCUCUGUAUAACACCGCAAGCCGAGCGGAGCUGGUCGUACGAGAUAAGGAUAUAGGCGCGCAGCGUCGUUUGAUCGUUUGUCUUGUUUUUUAGAUUUAACCCUAAAAGUCACUUUUCAUCAGAUAUCUUUGAUGUUUAUUGUCACACUAUACAAUAGGUUUUUUAUUUAUUGUUUUUCGCUAGUCGACUGUAUUGAUUUUAAGUUCUUUUUUUUCGUUAUCGGAACUAUGGUAAUCCAUAUAUUCCGUAAACGGUUUCUUUACAACUGGCACUGAAUUCGAGCAUAACGCUCGUGGAGCGGGUCACUAGACUCGUAACCCCUUACGCAUGGCGGUGAACAGCGCUGGAGAUGAAUUAGACCACCCAUCUUUGCGACGUCCGUCCGAACGGACGCCUAUUGCACACGUCGAACGGCCGUCGAGGAUUGAAAGACUAGAGGGGUAGGAGGAGCGGAAGGGAUAGAAUCCCGCACCUUGCUCGCAGGCGAAGGGGAAACGCAUUAGCUGCAGCAAUUGCCACAAAAAUGGAUUGCGUAGCUCGGUGUUGUAUGAGCGAGGCGAGGCGUGAGCUUCAUUAACCUUUUGGAGCGUCUAUUCGCCGCCAAUCUUCGUCAUGAUGGUGCAAGAGAAAAAUAAGGGAGAAUUUAUUUUCUCUUAUUGCGGUCUUAUUUCUCUCUUAUUUUUUAAUAGAAAAAGAGGCCAUUCGCCGAUAGAUUUAAUUCAUAUACAUCUAGUUUGAUCUCAAUUAAUAUUUGACGGUGUCGGGUAGCCGGUAAGGCAAGCAAAGUGGCAGCAAAAAUGACAAACUAAUCCUCGGCUCACUGUCACAAUCAAUCACUAGAAACAACCGUUCCCCUUAAGACAAUGCAAAUCGCUUUGCAAUGAGUACGAAACGUGCGCUCGCACCACCCUCCGCAUAUGGCGGUGAAAGGAUCAAACGUUUGUCUGUAGAAAAUAGGGCCUGCCGACUAGUUUGCACUUGGUCAAUAAUCAUUUAUUUGUAAAGUAAAUGUAUCGACUAAGAAAAAAAAAGAAUAGGUUGGAAAGCGGUAGAAGAAGGUAAAGUGGGGGAUAAGGGAGGGUUAAGGGGGGUAAGAAUAAGAGUAGAAAUAUACGGGACGGCGGGGUUUCACGCUAUACCGCCGUUCACUCAGCAUUAUAAAACACUAUUUUCAUGCCAUUUUAAUGACUUGUGUAAACAAGACGGCGCUGAUCUGCUGCAAAGCUUGUUUAGUCUCCUAUAUAGAAGCUCGUUGGUGCCUCGUUUUACUCGCGCCAUAAGCAGAAAUUCAAACACUCGUCGCUCGCUUUAUGAAUAGAACGAGUGACGAUCUUGACUUUAAUCUGUAUUUCCUUAUAUUUUUCUCUAUUAUUCCAAUCACGUAUAUAUCCUUUCUGUAUGUUUUGUUUUGUUUUUACCCCAGUUUUCGUAUAAGAUCACCGUUCGAGAUUACUUUUUUCCUUUUUAUCUGUAUCUGUGUGAGUUCGAUAGUUGCGUUUUUUUUUUCCACUCCUUUUUAAAUCAGACGGGAGAUGCCUUACAAGGUCAGGCGAUCUUAAUGACAGAGUCGAAGUUAAUGUAGGCCGAUAACGAUCGUGGUUAGGUUCUAUCAAAACACAGAUCUACGAACGGGGCAAUUGGCGCAGGUGGCGUGAGUCUUCUUAUUCUGCCCGAUCAGACCGCUUUCCUUCACCCACCUGCCUUAACUCCUAUGAAGUAAGGAAAAGAAUUUUUCACUCAACUCUCUCUCAUUCUCUCUCGCUUUCCUUAAUUUCUCUCCUUCUUUCCCACCCUCUUUUACAGUAUAUAAUUCCCCCAUUAAGGGAGUUAUAUAGUCUAGGCGGUUCAAGGAUAUGCUGAUCGAUAGACGAUCGUGAAAGAAAGUGUUAAGGGGGAAAUUGGAAUGUAACUCCUGCUGAUUUCCUUAAUCAAAAACUCGGUGUAUACACAGUACACCAUACACUGUUUCUAUCGUGUAUUUAUAUAUAAAAUAACUACAUAUUUGGUAGAAAUGUUAAAAAAAUACCGUUAGUGUUUUUUUAGAAAAGCGGUGGUAUAAAGAGAAAAAAUAAGAAAGUUUUUCUUUUAUUCUUGUUACUAGAAGGUUUAAUGAAAGAAGAAAAUGCGCAUCGAACUAGAACGCAAUAUAUUCUAAAUACACGUACAUAUAGAGAGAACGUCGAAAAGGAUCAAAGAAAUUGUAUAGAUUACAUGCCCCAUCCCUUUGUGCUUCGAUUCAAAGCAAGAGUGGCCAGUUGGGAGAACGUAGAGCACGCUACAAUGAACGUUGGAGGGUAAGAAGGAGGAAGAUGUUUGUCUUUGUUCCCAUUCAAUUCUACAAUUUCUUUAAUUCUCCUGUUGUCUUGAAAGAACCAUUGGCCAAAAAAAUAAAGAAUAAAGUAUAUGGAAGAAAAGUCUCCGAAUGACCACACACAGCCUUCAGUGCGGGUUGAAUUGCCGGAGGCGAUAAACGUCUGACUGAUUCGGGCAGAAUGAAGAGUUUCGAAAUUCUUUUGAGGUGCGAGGCGAGACAGCGCCAUUUGUUUCUUAAUCAACGCUUCGUCAGCCUUCGUCACGCUGCCCCGAGUAGCCAAAUUCGAAUUGAUGGGCUUUGGCUGUCGGACCGCUAAAUUUUUUUCUCCAACCCUUCAUCCCUUUUUUAGCCUACUUUUCUUAUCAUCCAACUAAUUCUCGUCACCGCCUUCUCAUCCCCUUCAACCUUUUACAGUUCUAGUUUGUUCUAUUUUUCUUCGUUUUCUUUUUUUUCAUUUUCCCGAUUCCUCGCUAUAUUUGAACUGCUAUACUGCUUUCAUGUGGCCGCCGCCGUGUAAGCAGCACCUGCGGCGGUAGGCCACUCCUGGUAGCACCUGCAUGCACGCCUGCUGGCGUGACGAAUAUAAUCAAAAAACAGAACGAACGAAAAAAGAAGGACAGAAACAAUAUAGAGGAGUAAGAAAAAAAAAAAUACAAUAAAGAAUAAGAAAACGAAUGAGAUUGAGAAAAAAAGAAAAUAUUAUUUUUCUAUCGGAAGAAGGCUACUACUUUCAAGAAUUUUUCUAUGGACGAGCAGAACGAAGAAAAAAACCAAGAAAUUUGAGAACAGAGUUGAUCUGCAAAAGUUUGCGGUAGCUGGAGGGAAAAUAAACUGGAGAUGCUCUGCAAACUUGACUACAGCCUCCGUCGCGCACGCCCCAACGUAAUUUGACGCCCCUUCUCCUACAUUACAACCGGUUCGAUAACGCUCGAUCUGUCCAUUUUUAGACAGAUGGCCAAACUCACCCGUAGUUAUAGGAAAAAAAAAUUAAAAAAAACGGGUUCUAGCAAUAAGCCAAUUCAAGCAGGAUGCGGGAGACGCUCCGUCAACCAGCAGCCCGUCGGUUCACUUCCUUCUCGAAGCAGCUUUGCAUUAUCAGGCUGUGCAUACAGUCACAUGACUGCUGACGGUUGGCAAACACACUUGGCAAACUGUUUGUCUCUAGUUGUUUGCACUUUGCAGUGCCUGUGCUUGCCACCUGCAUUCCUCUGAGAGUGCUGUUUGCGUGUUACAGUCAAAUUACUCUUGUCGAGAGCAUUUUGUUUGUUUGACCAAUUCUUCCUCUUGUAUAUAACGCGUAGUAUAAGUACGUACAAACCGUUAGGGGCGUCUAGUCCCUGCGCAUCGUUGAUAAAGAGCUUAAGCAAUACAUUUGCCUCCCCUUUACCCCCGUCUCUCUCCCUCUUUCCCCGUCUCUAUACUGUAAACUUUUUUUUUCGUCACCUUUUCGAUCAUUGUCAUCGAUAGACGUCUUACUUGAUGUUUUUAUCAAGGCAAUUGCUAAAUUUUUGUUCAAUUUGUAACUGCAGAGAUUUUUACUGUAUUAAAAAUACAUUGGACGCCGUCACCCAGCGUCAUAUGCAAGUCACUGCGUGCCUGUCCCUCGCACAUGUUCUUACAAUGCUCAAUUUGUGAUUUGUUCUGACGUCAUUUCGUUGUGUCAAUAGCAGAUGUAAGCAACGCUUUGUGCGGAUUAUACGUAUAAUAUACGUAAAUAAAAAAAACUCAAAUAGGAUGUACAUUAUUUUAUGUUUUGAUUAUAUACAUUCCUUAUUUUUUCAUAUGAAGAAAAGUGACUAAAAUCUUGUCUGUUGGGCGUUAGAAAAACAUACAGAAAGAAAAUUAUUAUUUAGAUUCUAGACGAGCUGUUGUAUAACUAGAUUGUCGAAUCUAGGCGGGAAACGGUAGAGUUCAAAAGCGUCUUUCGUUUAUAAAACAAACUAGAAAUUGUUUGAAGUAUAAAGUGGCGUUGAACGGUACUGGUUAAUGUUAGGGAGGAAAAGCUGCAUAAUGCCUUGUAACUAUGAUGUAAUCGACUUGCGCUCUUGUAUACGAACGCCAACACGUUUUUUUGGAGGCCAGAGGCGGUGUCAGCACCACACAUGAUGAGCAGUUCAGUGCCUAUUGUGUCGCUAACGACUGAGAAUAAUUGCUGUACGCCGUGAAGGCUUUGGUCAUUGUGCGGACUGGUCAAUUGCCGUUUCGGCGAUAUCCGCAGGGCUAAGCAGUUGAGAUUAGGAUUAGACUUCUUUCUGUUCUUUCUUCCUUUUUUCUUUCUAUCACCAGCCUUAAUUCUGUUUAAAUGCAUGUAUUUCAUUCUAACACUGUCUAUCAUAUGUCUGAACCUCUAUCUCUUUCUAUUUACUAUAUAUCUCCUACUUUGCUUUUUAUUCGAUCUAUAAUCCUCUGCGUAACUGUAUACAUAUUAUGUGCAAUACUCUCGUAAUCCUCGCUUAUAUAGAGUUAUAUGUAAACAUUUAUAACUGAACGGUAGUCGUAAUCGCAACUUGUGCAUGUGUGUAUUUGCAUUGCAGUCGCGUCGUUGACCAUCAUGCAGUACGGCCCGAUGAGCAGAGAUACGACUUAUACGAGUUGAUAGACAAUCAGGGAGUUAUAGGCAUAAAAAGCAUGUCAACUGCCUAUAUGCAUAUCUAUAGAAAUUUCUCUUUCUUUCUUUUUUCUCCUUUUUUUUUAAUUCAUCUCUUUUUUUUUUUGAGACGACCAGGUUUUUGUUCAAAAACAUUUCGAAGAUCGUAAAAGAACUCUUUGUAACGGUUGCCACGAUAAAAAUCGCUUGUUUGCCAUCCUACGUUGCGUACGGUAGUGUAAAACGUGCGCUUGUAUGCGUAAGAAUGCACGGCGCCAUGUCACAUGUAAAUAUAAGUAGUAGCCAAUUUCGUGUCAAGGGUAUCGUGCAGACGGUCAAAGAACAAAACUCACUCAGUCUAUUGUAUAAGCGUCUAUUCUCAAUUGUACAUAUGUAUUGUUUAAGGAUAGUUGAAGAAUUGCGUAUAGAGACUUAAGCGAAUUGUCAAAUUGCUUUAAUGAUUGAAAGACAUCGUCGCGAGUUGUAAAAGUGUUGUCAUUUCGCUCCAGAGGCGAAUGAUAUAUUUGUUUUUCCUUUAUUACCUAUUACGGCAUUCCUUGAAGGCUAGUCUACUUUUACUAUUCAAAAAUUCAGCCGUUCGUUUUCGUCAUAAUUGUCUUUAGGUGUUGGCACUGGCUUCCGCCUAUGGCGUGAUAGAUUGGCUAGCCUCCUCUUGGAUUUUGUACAAGUCUUAGCGGUAGAUUUUCCUUGUAUUAUUUCUGUUAUUUUCUCAUCCAGUACGUCUAUAUGAAUAUAGACUUCUCACGGACAACCGACCGCCAAUCUAUACUUGUACAAACUUUAAGUUGUUUGAGUGUUAUUGGUCUAUGAUGAAGUACUGGCGCACUAUUCUUUACGUAUUGAUAAAACUUGAAACUCUCCCCCGACAGAGGCGCACCCCCCGUCGUUAGAGCGAAGAUCUACCUCAUCCUGAUUGGCUACGGCUCGGAGGCCCCGCCCACCGGCCCUUCUGCAAGCGAACAAAACUCGAGCGUGACAUUGAAUGCUCGGUCGAUGCGUUCUGUAGAGCAGGAUAGUUGUUGUACGGAGUUAACAGUAAUGGCGGUGACAUGUGCAGCAUGUGAGAGACCUAUACUCGAUAAAUAUAUAUCGAACGUACUAGAUCAGACCUGGCAUCAGCACUGUGUUCAAUGUUCUGACUGUCACUCGCAGUUGUUCGACAAGUGUUUUUCUCGGGAAGGCAAGCUGUUUUGUAAAGAGGAUUUCUUCAGGCGUUUUGCGACGAAAUGCGGCGGUUGUGGAGAAACGCUGUCCGCCAACGAAUUCGUAAGACGAGCCAGAAAUCGCGUCUACCACCUUAAAUGUUUCACCUGUAUGAUAUGCCGAAAGCAGUUGGCCACCGGCGAACAAUUAUACGUUCUAGAGGAUAAUAAAUUCAUCUGUAAGGAGGAUUAUUUGAGUAAUUCAAAAUAUCAAGCCGGUAAUCUUAGCGAUCACGAAGAUGAAUUGGACUCGACGUCCGCUGGUCUCGACAACUUGGACGACGCCCUCAGCGAAAAAGAUUUGGAGACGAUUAAACAGGAACCUAGUCCGAUAGCCUCCAGUCCACCGCCCACGGAGGACAAGUGCGCUGGCCCUUCGGGGCCGAACGAUGUCGAAAGCUGCCCGGAGGAUAAGCAAGGGACUAACGGCUCCGCCUCUCAGCAAUCUGGCCAGGAUGGUAACGGAAGUGGAGGAGGUCAAAAGAGGAGGGGACCGAGGACAACUAUCAAGGCAAAGCAGCUGGAAACGCUCAAAGCGGCCUUCGCUGCAACUCCUAAACCUACUAGACAUAUACGAGAGCAAUUAGCUCAGGAAACAGGCCUAAAUAUGAGAGUUAUACAGGUCUGGUUUCAAAAUCGAAGAUCGAAAGAAAGAAGAAUGAAACAACUAUCGGCAAUGGGAGCCAGACGGCAUCAGUUCUACUCUAGACCGCACCGGCGGGGCCUUCGGCCGCUUAACGGUCUCGAGGGGAUGGAGGAUAAGAUGAAUCCCGAAUUGAUAGGCGGUCAAGGAGGAUUUUACGCAUUCGGAGAUGGUCAAUCGGAAUUCUAUCCGUAUUCAGCCGCUUACGGUGAAUUUUUUAACCACGCUCACGCAUCGGGCGGGGGCGAAGGACUUCCGUUUCCAAUUCCACCCACUUCGCAGGCGAACAUGGAAGGCGUUCACGGAGGGUCCAUGGUAGCUGAACACUUUAUUGCAGAUACAGUUCCGCCAACGUCUUCUGCAUCGCCAGAACCAGGAUUACCUCCAUUUACUCCCGACUAUCCAAAUUCUCGACAUUUCCCAAAUAAUACUCAAGAAGUGUCCGAGACUUGGUAGAAGUGGCUAAAAUCUAGAAGAAAAAAUUUAAAACUCGGAAAAAAAAAGAAUAAAUGCUACAAUUCUCUUUUUCGAACUGCUAUAUUUAAAAUUAUCUGAAUAUAUACAAAUAUAUACAGUAUAUUGCGUAUAUAAAUAUAUACAUUUACACUGUAUACGUCCGUAUAUAUAGUGAAAUAUAAUUGAUGAUUAUGUAUAUACAGUAAGGAAAAAACGUAAAAAAUACAUGUGUACAUAUUUAUAUAUUAAGUAUUUAAUAUAUAUAUAUAUAAAUAUAUUUGGAAACACUUUUUGUGUAGUUUUUCACAAAUUGACAAACUCAAUCGAUGCCAAAAGUAUACAAACAUGAAUUGUUUUUUUUCUCUCUCUCUCUCUCUCUCCUUUUCUGCCUUCGUCCUCGUCUCUCCCUCUAUUCCGAUCUCGCUCUUUAUUUAUAGUCUCUCACUUUUCUAUCUUUCUAUCCUUCUAUAUUUUCUCUUUUCUAAAUUAAACUGGUCAAAUACAGAAUGAAAAUUUGAUAAUAGAAA